ensembl:scaRNA
AGCCUCUUCUCUCAUGGGAGAAGGGGGCCUUUUCUCCUUAGUCAGGCCUGGGGGCCAAGAUCAGCCUUUGAGUAUCAUUGCCAAGAAUGCCACAGAUGGGCAGCUUUGUUUUCCCAAUGCAGACAUUU